AGCAGCCGCGGUAAUUCCAGCUCCAAUAGCGUAUAUUAAAGUUGUUGCAGUUAAAAAGCUCGUAGUUGAAUUUCGGGAUCAAUAUUUCGGUCAUGCCGUUGGUAUGCACUGUUAUCAUUGAUUUCUCACCUUCUAAAGAACCGUAAUGCCAUUAAUUUGGUGUUACGGGGAAUUAGGACUGUUACCUUGAAAAAAUUAGAGUGUUUAAAGCAGGCUCACGCUUGAAUACAUUAGCAUGGAAUAAUGAAAUAGGACAUCCGAUUCUAUUUUGUUGGUUUCUAGGAUCGAUGUAAUGAUUAAUAGGGAUAGUUGGGGGCAUUAGUAUUCAAUUGUCAGAGGUGAAAUUCUUGGAUUUAUUGAAGACUAACUACUGCGAAAGCAUUUGCCAAGGAUGUUUUCAUUAAUCAAGAACGAAAGUUAGGGGAUCGAAGACGAUCAGAUACCGUCGUAGUCUUA
rnacentral:misc_RNA from 1 species